rnacentral:rRNA from 1 species
UACGGAGGGGGCUAGCGUUGUUCGGAAUUACUGGGCGUAAAGCGCACGUAGGCGGCUUUGUAAGUUAGAGGUGAAAGCCCAGGGCUUAACCCUGGAAUUGCCUUUAAGACUGCAUCGCUAGAAUCGUGGAGAGGUAAGUGGAAUUCCGAGUGUAGAGGUGAAAUUCGUAGAUAUUCGGAAGAACACCAGUGGCGAAGGCGGCUCACUGGCCCGUUACCGACGCUCAGGCGCGAAAGCGUGGGGAGCAAACAGG